GUUUUCCAACCGUCGCGUCGGUUUAGUUUCUCCUCGGUUCGGCCUUGGUGGCUGUUUAUCUCUGACACACAUGCUCUGCAUGCAUCAUUUCACAAUGACACAUAGCAUUGUGGUGUUGGUACGUAUAGAUCGUAUGUCACUUCCUUGCAGAAUGAUAUGAUUUGUAUCAUCACGUCGAUCAAGGGUCAUAAAUAUCCUAAGACCUACACAUUCAUUUCUUCAUUGGUUCUCUAGUUUUUGAAAUCCUAAAAACCUUUUCAUUCUGUUCUUGUGGUUCCAAUGGUGCUCCACUUCGACGCUUGCCACCAUUGCUGUUAGUUCCAGAAGUUGUUGUCUUCUUUCGAUUCUAGUUUGCAAGACCUCUGUUUGUCAUCGUUCUUCAUCAAAUCGUUUUAAAUUCUUCUGAACCUCUUCUUUUCUUUCAUUUUACGGUCUCUAUCGUCAUUAAUGGCCUUAGCACCACUGUUUCCGGCAACUCAUGUUAUUUCUUUACCUUUCUCUUCGUGUGGCUUUGUCUUUGUCGUUCUUGGUCUAGGUUAUAGGUAAGUUUCAUACUUUAGUUGAUACCCUAGAAGCGAUGGCCUUGUUCCGUCGUGACUACGGUAUUCCGGAUGACGUUACUCUUACGUUGGCUAAGAUUGAUGCCAAACGUAUGGGUACAAGAAAUACUGAUGCAUUUUCGGUUGUUGCCAUUGUCGAAUAAGGGGUUCGGUUCCCCUUAGACCCAUUGAUCCGCUGUUUUCUACACCAAUUUCAAUUUUUCCCAAUACAAGUUUCUGUGAAUCUAUUUCACGUCAUCUGUGGCGUUUCUACCCUAAACAGAUGGUUAGCCUUGAACUUGGAUGUCUAGGACAUCUUAGGCUGCUACACCCUUUCGCAUAACAAAGACCAUAGCACAUGCUCCUUGGUUUUCAUUCUAUUGACUCUUACCUUGUCGCUAGUUUGCUCGAUUCGGAUAAGCAUAAUGACGACUUCCUGCAAGUUAGUAUGAACUAGGGGUUCCCUACUGGAAUUAAGUUCCAGUCCAAACAGAUGCCUCAGAAGGACGGCUAUCCAGAAUCUUCUCGCUACCAGAGAAGACCGAAUCGUGAAAAUACUGAAACAAUUAAGGCCACACUACUAUACAAGAAGAGAUCCGCUCUUGAACUGCUAGAUUACCAAGGCACUUACUGAACUACUAUUCCCAAGAAAGUGAAGCUUGCUACAGCUUUGCUUGACUCUGAUACUGAAACUGAUACACCCCAUGCUCUAUUGGUUACCAAUCAUUGUCGUACUCAUAGCCUCUUUACCGAAAUGACUUUUUUUCCUAUCCCUAGUUCCACAAGAGAUGGAUCAAUGUCCAAGAGAAGGUUGCUUAUGGAUUUGAAGGCGGAGGCUUUUGGCUUCUCUUCGGCUCUGGAGACUCCGGAGUGAAGGCCGAGCUGAAAAUUCUAAUGAAAGUUAAAUUAGAGGUGAGAGCUGCUAGCCCCACUACUGCUAUUCCGAGAUCUGAAGCCCUAACUGCUGAAUGGGCUAGGAAGAGAAGGAGAAAAACUGGUAAGAAUAAGGUUAGAGAGGCUUCUAGAGAGCCUAUGGUUGAUGAAUCUUUUGAACAGUGGGAAACGCCCAUGCUACAUCAUGGUAGGCCCAUUUCAACUUUUGAUUCUGUUAUUUCAUCUAGAGAACUCGAAUUUGAUUUUACCAAGACUUUACUGCUGCUAGUGGACAUGGCAGACCACAAUGGACCCCAUGAUAUUCUCAUCAUAAAGGGAACCUUGCAAAUGAUGACUAUUUGCAUCAGAGGAUGCACCUAUCCAUCACCUAUCCUGAAGAAUUAGAGAAGGCCGUACUGGAGGCCGUGAUAAGUUCUGAAAGGUUGACGAUGAAUUUAGAGGCUAAGAAGGAGGACCGAAGAACUGCAGAGAGAGAAAAUUUUCGAUUGAGCAAGGUUAUUACUUCUGUUGAGAAAUCUAAUGAAAUUUCUGUCAAUACCCAGGUCAAACUUGAGGGAAAGGUUGUUGAGCUAGAGACUGUUAUCGCCUUAACAGCUGUUGAAUGUUCAACUCUAGAAGCUAAGUACUGGCAACAAGGUUAGGAUGAGGCUGGUGCAACUUAUAAUGAGGAGGUGCUGGUUUUGCGUGACAAGCUCUUCCUCAAAGGAUGGCCGAGUGCCCUAGCUACUACUCAAGUUCCUAAGGAGUCCCCUUUGUUACAAGACGUUCAUGUUCCUUCAAAGUCCUCAAGUUUGAAAGCUGCUACAACUCUUGCAACUCCGCAAUCAAAGAUCUGCCCAAGUGUUGGUUUUGCCAACACGACCCCAGAGAGUGAUGUUGCUCACAAGCUGGUGGAUGCUGGAAAAGGUAGGACCCCAAAGGUUAAUGCUGCAGAGGAGGAGGCUAAGGAAGUUCCUGUCUCCCAAGACAGUGGUGUUGUUUAUGCUUUUUUCCUCAAUGGUGAUUUGGACAAAGCUGUGGACCCAGCUUCUGAGAUUCCUCCUUCUGAUGAAAGUUGAAGUGAUCCUUGGGACAAUUUCAGGUUUUACAUUUUUUUUUGAUGCACUGGAGCUCAGCCUAGUUAUCCGAUGUGCUACAUGAUUAUGCUUGGAUGUAACAAAGUCACAAAGAAGUGUUUUACUCAAUUGUUUGCCUCCACUUGGAGCUGAGUAAGGCUUGUGCUGGAAGUUUGCUCUUGAAAGAAUUAUUCGAUUCUGUUCCAA